GACAAAUUAGUUGAAUGCUGUAUCGACAAGGGUGUUAACAUGCAUAAUGAGUGACUAUCAGAAGCAUGCAGAACAGGCAGAUUGUGUAAUCUGUCAAUGUGUCAUGCAGAUAUGACAACAAGUGAUACCAUUUUAGAGCUUAACGUUCUAGCGAACGUCUUCUCUCAACCUUGCAUGACCGAGCAUAUGUUCAACAGCAGGAAGGGUUCCCCUCAUCAGCAUUUUUAAAGGAAUCAUCAAUUGCUUACAGCCUCUGCUCCAUCAUCCUAUUGUACUGCAGAUCCAGAGGCAUUGCCACUGCACACCACUUUGUGUGGACAGAUCAACGACUUCCUCAGCUCUUUCAGUGAGGAUCCUACAACAUUCUCCAUCAAAUCCAGCGACUCACCACAACCCCUCCAAAAACACGCCACAAUAUUUUCAACUAGCAAUUUCAGGAGCUCUUCCAAAUGACCUUACCUCCAAUUUGUGCCUGGCCCUUUAAAUAAAACUAGUGCAAUGCUC